rnacentral:lncRNA from 1 species
CUUGGGAGCUGAGAGUGGCCUCAAUCUGACAUUCUGGAAAAACCUGAAAAUUUUCGUCCUAAAAAUGUAAAGAAAUGCAUUCUCCCAAUAACAUUAGGGAGUUGGAAGUUGAUUCUUCCCUACUCAAAAUUACAGGACCUGUGAAUAUGUUAUCUUACAUGGCCAAAACGACGUUGCAGGUGUGCUGAAAGUCACAAGUCUUGAGAUGGGAAAAUUGUCCUGCAUCAUCCUGAUGGAUUACAUCUAAUCCCAUCGGUCCUUAAAAGAGAAGAAUCUUUCCCAGGGAGAAAGAUAUAAUAUGAGAAGGACUUGACCCUGUGUGUCUGGCUUUGAAGGUGGAGAAAUGUAGUCAUAAGCCAAUCAACGCAGCUGUCUCUAGAAGCGGAAACUACCUUCAGUACAGAACCAGCAGGAAAACAGAAACCUUGGUCCUAUAGCUGCAAAGAACAGAGCUCUACUAACCACAGCAGAGAGCAAAGAACAAUUGCCUUAGAGCUUCCAGAAACAAUGCAGCAGAUCACCAAUUUCCUUUUAGUCUGGCCAGUUGUGUAUAAACCUUCUGACCUAUAGUAUAGACCUGUGAGAUAAUAAAUAUGUGCUGUUUUAUACCACUAAGAUUUUUGGCAAUUUAUUUUCAGAGCAGUAUUAACACAGGGAAGAAAAGAUGACUUAAAUUAUUUUGGGGAAAUUGGC